CAACCAUCAAGCCCUAGGGCUUGUGUUGGGGCACUGCGGCUGCCGCAGGCCCCCAAAAGCAGUGGCGGACUCGCUGUCAUACCGAGCGCAGUAGCACAUCUCGCUCAGGGCGUGGCGGCGGGCACUAGCCGUAAAACACACCAAAACUCAA
rnacentral:misc_RNA from 1 species